ensembl:lncRNA
AUGACACACAGCUCAACUCCACAGAAAACAUUUACAACAAUACUUUUUACCUUUUGUACACCACAAAAUUCUUCUGCUUCAACACUCCCUAUUGGAGAGAUACAGACCUUCUGCUGCUUCAACACUCCCUAUUGGAGAGAUACAGACCUUCUGCUGCUUCAACACUCCCUAUUGGAGAGAUACAGACCUUCUGCUGCUUCAACACUCCCUAUUGGAGAGAUACAGACCUUCUGCUGCUUCAACACUCCCUAUUGGAGAGAUACAGACCUUCUGCUGCUUCAACACUCCCUAUUGGAGAGAUACAGACCUUCUGCUGCUUCAACACUCCCUAUUGGAGAGAUACAGACCUUCUGCUGCUUCAACACUCCCUAUUGGAGAGAUACAGACCUUCAGACCUUCUGCUGCUUCAACACUCCCUAUUGGAGAUAUACAGACCUUCUGCUGCUUCAACACUCCCUAUUGGAGAGAUACAGACCUUCUGCUGCUUCAACACUCCCUAUUGGAGAGAUACAGACCUUCUGCUGCUUCAACACUCCCUAUUGGAGAUAUACAGACCUUCUGCUGCUUCAACACUCCCUAUUGGAGAUAUACAGAGCUUCUGCUGCUUCAACACUCCCUAUUGGAGAGAUACAGACCUUCUGCUGCUUCAACACUCCCUAUUGGAGAGAUACAGACCUUCUGCUGCUUCAACACUCCCUAUUGGAGAGAUACAGACCUUCUGCUGCUUCAACACUCCCUAUUGGAGAGAUACAGACCUUCUGCUGCUUCAACACUCCCUAUUGGAGAGAUACAGACCUUCUGCUGCUUCAACACUCCCUAUUGGAGAUAUACAGACCUUCUGCUGCUUCAACACUCCCUAUUGGAGAGAUACAGACCUUCUGCUGCUUCAACACUCCCUAUUGGAGAGAUACAGACCUUCUGCUGCUUCAACACUCCCUAUUGGGGAGAUACAGACCCUCUGCUGCUUCAACACUCCCUAUUGGAGAGAUACAGACCUUCUGCUGCUUCAACACUCCCUAUUGGAGAGAUACAGACCUUCUGCUGCUUCAACACUCCCUAUUGGAGAGAUACAGACCUUCUGCUGCUUCAACACUCCCUAUUGGAGAGAUACAGACCUUCUGCUGCUUCAACACUCCCUAUUGGAGAGAUACAGACCUUCUGCUGCUUCAACACUCCCUAUUGGAGAGAUACAGACCUUCUGCUGCUUCAACACUCCCUAUUGGAGAUAUACAGACCUUCUGCUGCUUCAACACUCCCUAUUGGAGAGAUACAGACCUUCUGCUGCUUCAACACUCCCUAUUGGAGAGAUACAGACCUUCUGCUGCUUCAACACUCCCUAUUGGAGAGAUACAGACCUUCUGCUGCUUCAACACUCCCUAUUGGAGAGAUACAGACCUUCUUCUGCUUCAACACUCCCUAUUGGAGAGAUACAGACCUUCUGCUGCUUCAACACUCCCUAUUGGGGAGAUACAGACCUUCUGCUGCUUCAACACUCCCUAUUGGAGAGAUACAGACCUUCUGCUGCUUCAACACUCCCUAUUGGAGAGAUACAGACCUUCUGCUGCUUCAACACUCCCUAUUGGAGAGAUACAGACCUUCUGCUGCUUCAACACUCCCUAUUGGAGAUAUACAGACCUUCUGCUGCUUCAACACUCCCUAUUGGAGAGAUACAGACCUUCUGCUGCUUCAACACUCCCUAUUGGAGAGAUACAGACCUUCUGCUGCUUCAACACUCCCUAUUGGAGAGAUACAGACCUUCUGCUGCUUCAACACUCCCUAUUGGAGAUAUACAGACCUUCUGCUGCUUCAACACUCCCUAUUGGAGAGAUACAGACCUUCUGCUGCUUCAACACUCCCUAUUGGAGAGAUACAGACCUUCUGCUGCUUCAACACUCCCUAUUGGGGAGAUACAGACCUUCUGCUGCUUCAACACUCCCUAUUGGAGAGAUACAGACCUUCUGCUGCUUCAACACUCCCUAUUGGAGAGAUACAGACCUUCUGCUGCUUCAACACUCCCUAUUGGAGAGAUACAGACCUUCUGCUGCUUCAACACUCCCUAUUGGAGAGAUACAGACCUUCUGCUGCUUCAACACUCCCUAUUGGAGAGAUACAGACCUUCUGCUGCUUCAACACUCCCUAUUGGAGAGAUACAGACCUUCUGCUGCUUCAACACUCCCUAUUGGAGAGAUACAGACCUUCUGCUGCUUCAACACUCCCUAUUGGAGAGAUACAGACCUUCUGCUGCUUCAACACUCCCUAUUGGAGAGAUACAGACCUUCUGCUGCUUCAACACUCCCUAUUGGAGAGAUACAGACCUUCUGCUGCUUCAACACUCCCUAUUGGAGAUAUACAGACCUUCUGCUGCUUCAACACUCCCUAUUGGAGAGAUACAGACCUUCUGCUGCUUCAACACUCCCUAUUGGAGAGAUACAGACCUUCUGCUGCUUCAACACUCCCUAUUGGAGAGAUACAGACCUUCAGACCUUCUGCUGCUUCAACACUCCCUAUUGGAGAUAUACAGACCUUCUGCUGCUUCAACACUCCCUAUUGGAGAGAUACAGACCUUCAGACCUUCUGCUGCCUGAAGUCGGGUGUUUACAUAUACUUACGUUGGAGUCAUUUUUCAACCACUCCACAAAUUUCUUGUUAACAAACUAUAGUUUUGGCAAGUCGGUUAGGACAUCUACUUUGUGCAUGACACAAGGAAUUUUUCCAACAAUUGUUUACAGACAGACUAUUUCACUUAUAAUUCACUGUAUCACAAUUCCAGUGGGUCAGAAGUUUACAUACACUAAGUUGACUGUGCCUGUAAACAGCUUGGAAAAAUCCAGAAAAUGUCAUGGCUUUAGAAGCUUCUGA